GAUGUAGUAGGGUUAAUGAUAGAUGUAGUAGGGUUAAUGAUAGAUGUAGUAGGGUUAAUGAUAGAUAUAGUAGGGUUAAGGUUAAUGAUAGAUAUAGUAGGGUUAAUGAUAGAUAUAGUAGGGUUAAUGAUAGAUGUAGUAGGGUUAAUGAUAGAUGUAGUAGGGUUAAUGAUAGAUAUAGUAGGGUUAAUGAUAGAUGUAGUAGGG